AGUGAACGCUGGCGGUAGGCCUAACACAUGCAAGUCGAACGGCAGCACAGUAAGAGCUUGCCCUUACGGGUGGCGAGUGGCGGACGGGUGAGGCAUACAUCGGAAUCUACUUUUUCGUGGGGGAUAACGUAGGGACACUUACGCUAAUACCGCAUACGACCUACGGGUGAAAUCAGUGGAUCUUCGGACCUUGCGCGUUUGAAUGAGCCGGUGUCGGAUCAGCUAGUUGACAGGGUAAAGGCCCACCAAGGCAACGAUACGUAGCUGGUCUGAGAGGAUGAUCGGCCACACUGGAACUGAGACACGGUCCAGACUCCUACGGGAGGCAGCAGUAGGGAAUAUUGGGCAAUGGGCGAAAGCCUGAUCCAGCCAUACCGCGUGAGUGAAGAAGGCCUUCGGGUUGUAAAGCCCUUUUGUUGGGAAAGAAAAACAGCAUAUUAAUACCCCGCUGUUCUGACGGUACCCAAAGAGUAAGCACCGGCUAACUUCGUG
rnacentral:rRNA from 1 species